rnacentral:rRNA from 1 species
AGUGAACGCUGGCGGUAGGCCUAACACAUGCAAGUCGAACGGCAGCACAGUAAGAGCUUGCUCUUACGGGUGGCGAGUGGCGGACGGGUGAGGAAUACAUCGGAAUCUACUUUUUCGUGGGGGUUAACGUAGGGAAACUUACGCUAAUACCGCAUACGACCUACGGGUGAAAGCAGGGGAUCUUCGGACCUUGCGCGAUUGAAUGAGCCGAUGUCGGAUUAGCUAGUUGGCGGGGUAAAGGCCCACCAAGGCGACGAUCCAUAGCUGGUCUGAGAGGAUGAUCAGCCACACUGGAACUGAGACACGGUCCAGACUCCUACGGGAGGCAGCAGUGGGGAAUAUUGGACAAUGGGCGCAAGCCUGAUCCAGCCAUACCGCGUGGGUGAAGAAGGCCUUCGGGUUGUAAAGCCCUUUUGUUGGGAAAGAAAAGCAGCAGGUUAAUACCCCGCUGUUCUGACGGUACCCAAAGAAUAAGCACCGGCUAACUUCGUG